rnacentral:lncRNA from 1 species
AUGAAGAGGCCAUUGGUUCAUUGGAAAGCUGCAUGGAGCAGCAUCACCACCAACCCCACCAAUAGUGAUACUAGGAUGUUGGGCAUGGCAUUGGUAAGAUGCAACACCACAACGGUGAUGAUGCCAAGCAUAAUCAAGAUCAUACCAUCUCUGAACAUAUAGCUGAGGAUGACAGUUGGCUUUUUGCAGAGAUGAUGAG